GGUGAACCUGCGGAGGGAUCAUUACCGAGUUUACAACUCCCAAACCCAAUGUGAACGUUACCAAACUGUUGCCUCGGCGGGAUCUCUGCCCCGGGUGCGUCGCAGCCCCGGACCAAGGCGCCCGCCGGAGGACCAACCAAAACUCUUUUUGUAUACCCCCUCGCGGGUUUUUUAUAAUCUGAGCCUUCUCGGCGCCUCUCGUAGGCGUUUCGAAAAUGAAUCAAAACUUUCAACAACGGAUCUCUUGGUUCUGGCAUCGAUGAAGAACGCAGCGAAAUGCGAUAAGUAAUGUGAAUUGCAGAAUUCAGUGAAUCAUCGAAUCUUUGAACGCACAUUGCGCCCGCCAGUAUUCUGGCGGGCAUGCCUGUCCGAGCGUCAUUUCAACCCUCGAACCCCUCCGGGGGGUCGGCGUUGGGGAUCGGCCCUGCCCUUUGGCGGUGGCCGUCUCCGAAAUACAGUGGCGGUCUCGCCGCAGCCUCUCCUGCGCAGUAGUUUGCACACUCGCAUCGGGAGCGCGGCGCGUCCACAGCCGUUAAACACCCAACUUCUGAAAUGUUGACCUCGGAUCAGGUAGGAAUACCCGCUGAACUUAAGCAUAUCAAU
rnacentral:rRNA from 1 species